GUUCCACAGUCCAUCCACCUGUUACUCAGAUACUGUAAGUAAAACAUAGUUUUACAUACAAAUUAAUGUAACUAGAUUAAUGCAGUUCAUCUCAUAACUGUAGUACUGCAGAGGAAUGGAACGAUGCAGCAAUCAGCAAACUCUGAAGAUGCCUAUUCUGCAGAGACCGAACGCACAGCGUUAGCCCAUGCCGCGCUAUGAAUGCCAAACAGCAGAACGAGCCCCUGGACCAGAGCGAUGAUAUUUCGGGGAGGAAUUCUUGCACGUUUUCCAGCCAUGGGGAUUCUCUGGAAUAACAAAAAAAACAACGCUAAGAGAAUUAGGAUAACAAGAAUUAGACACCGUCGGAGCAGAAUCAGAACGUGUCUAAAAUGAAGGGAGAAGUGUGGUAUCAAACAUGUUGGUCUGAUUUUGCAGUUCUGAUCAUCAUACUCUCUGCGUGCUCUGACUGGGAGAUGAAAUUCCCACCUGAUUAUGAAGUAUCAAAAAAUACAGCCUGCACAGCUGUUAAACAAAGGAAUUCAGACAAACAGAAGGAAAACAAAAAUCCUCUGAAAAAGCAAUAUCCUUCUCUCCCUACGAAAUUUGUGAAGAGGGAAGAGUAA
rnacentral:lncRNA from 1 species